rnacentral:tRNA from 1 species
GCAGGGGUGGCAGAACCCGGUCAUUGCGCUAGUCUCGAAAACUAGUGGGGAAACCCUUACGAGUUCAAAUCUCGUCCCCUGCG